CCGCCCGGUAACGCCGCGCGGGGGCCGCCAGCUGGGCAUCGUUUGCGUUCGUUGGGUUGAUUCACCUUUCGGUUGGGUUUAUUCACUGCGGAGGUUCUUUUCUUUUUCUUUUCUUUUUUCUUUCUUUUAUCUCCUUUCUUUUUUCCUUUUCUCUCUCUCACUCUUUUAUGUGUAGCCCCCAGUAUUUGCAUGGCUGAUGUCCCCACACCAUGAGUAAUGCAUGCAACAAGCAGAAAUGAGCUGUGUCUAACAGGUUUGCCUACACUGCGAGGAACCCGCUUCCCACUUAGAGCUCAUAAAUCACCUUUCUCUUUUCCCCCAUUACCUCAUGAAUGCAGAUACCGUGCGGCUCCUUGUUUUGCGUCUCCUCUGGUAGCAGCAUCCGUGCUGUGUUUUGCAUCUGGAAAGGCAGAAGGAUGUCUGUGCACGUCGGGCAGCAUCCCCCGGAGAUUCUUCUGCCAUCUGAGUGGGACUGGAGGAGGAUGAGGAGGAUUUCUUCCUGCAGGAUCCCGACUGGCUAUGUGAUGUGGCACCUCAGCCCCUCAGGGUGGUCAGCCAAGAAGUGCUGUUGGUCUUUGACAGUCGUUAAGAGGAGGGAGGCACUCCGAGAAGCAUAAAAAUGAAAGGUUCGGCCCACCAAGAGCUUUCCCACAGCUGAAUUCCAGGUUCUGCUUCUCACUCAUCUAUCACACCUCUCUGAAAAGAGAGAAGCAGAUGCUAAACAGCACUAAAUUCACCUUCUGCUUUUCUGCCUGGCUCCGCCCUUGCUUGCUCAGGAGAAGGUAACUGGGACAGCCAAUUGCCUGGCAGUAUCUGGAAAAUACAGCUUUGUUGGUCUGUCCGUGGGUCUGGCUGCCUUCAGGAUGUUUGACUGUAAGCAGGUCAGUGCUUGGGAUACAGUCAAAGCAGAGCUUCGUGCUGUCAGCUCCUCAGAUUUAGGGAAUGAAUGCCACUCUGCACUUGCUGUGGAUGAAAUGGGUGAGCGGGACAUGGGUUUCCCCACCCUGACUGGUGGGUAGCUGUGCUCUGGAGCUGAAGAGUUGGCAGCUGCUUUAUGGAAGAGUGCUAAAUCAGGAAAAGCGUGAGUGUGGAUAACAGGUUUCCUAGAAAGCCCUGCAAAGAAAGGUGUUAGAUAACAGGUUGUAGGGUGAUAGAGUGGCCCUAGGGCCUUGGGAUUAGAAAAGGGUGUGGGUUCGGUGUCCUGACUGGGACAGCAGAGGCAGAUGUGGAGCUGAGGCUGAAGUGCAAUGUAUUUUAGGAAUACAUCGGACCAGACAGAAAGAAGCAUUGCUAGGUGUGACCUCUCGCCUCUGCUUUGUUUCAGCAUCUGUAAUUGCACGGUCCUGUGGUAAAUAGGUUUGUUUCUUGAUUCAUUUGAAACCUGUCAUUUCUGGCGGAGAUAGCUUUCAAACUCCAUUAUCCAUCGCUGUGUACAAUCGAGUGCUUGCUGGUGUUGACAUAAGGAAGCCAAUGAAAGUUUAUUGCUGGAAGCAGUGGGAUAUUCUUCCAUGUGCCCAGGAAAAGAAUAUAGCCCUGUUCACACCCCAGCACAUUGUAACAGCCCUCUCUCAAGAGCACGGCUGCCAUCUGUUCACUUUCCUUCUGCUGCUUCUGUGUUUCCAUUCCAGGGCUUGUCUGGCUCUUCUGCUUUCACAAGGAAAGCUUGCUGCUCAUUAAAAUCCUAAAUGAGGUGGUAAGUACUGAGUCAGUUACCAUCACCAUAGUAUAGCUUGGGUUGGAAGGGACCUCAAAAUCAUCCAGUUCCAACCCUUCUGCUGCAGGCAGAGUUGCCAGCCGCUAGACACUGGUCAAGGGCAGGUAAAUAAUGUCAUGAAGAGCACUAAUUGCCCAUGACAGAGUUUCCAGAGGUCAGCAGAGAGCCUAUUCACUAAGCCAGGAGCAAGCAGGUAGUUUUGUGAUGUGAUGUACACUCUCUGAGUGCCAAACUCAUUUCUGAAUGCCAGCAUCCCAGAGAUGUAUCUGCAGCAAAAGCAGCUGCUGGAGGUCUCUGACAUUGUCCUAUAUGGACCAGAGGAAUGAGCCUUCCUUUAGCCUAGUCUCAGGGAAGUGAUUCCCACUGCUUUUCUAAGCAUUCUAGAUUCCCUGUGAUCCUGUUUCUAAUCUUCCCAAUUCCUCCUCCAGCUUAGAGAGUUGCUUCUGCCACUCCUUGUCCUCUCCAAAAGGCCUGAAGUGGAUCAGCACUGAUCCCAAAAUUUGGCCGACUGGAACAGGUCAUGCAGUUCCUAGUGCCAGAAGGCUCAGUGAAGCAGCUUUCCCUCCUGUGGUGCUCGUGGGACUCUGGGAGGCUGAGCUGGAGGCUGUGAUGUCAGUCUCAGUCAUGCAUAUGAAGCCUUAAGUGGGAGGAGAGGUGGGCUGCAUGAAGUUUGCAGGGAUUUCAUACUUUAGAAAAUAGCACGUGUUGUUUUAAGGAUGUAAGAUAGCAGAAGCUGCUUGCUUGAGAGACCUUUCCUCCUUGCUUCCAGUUGCUCAACAAGGUUUCCCAAGGCACGCAGCUCAAAAGUUUGGCUGGAGGUCUCCUGAUUGCCUAAGGAUUCCUGGCUGAAGGAGACAAGGAGAAAGCUCCAAAGCCGAAGCAGGGCUGGCUUUCAGGGAGAAGAGGUUAAGCUGGACAUCUGCAGUACAAAACAGUUCCCUCCUCUCUGUGCUAUUUCUUCUUAUACCCUCUUGCCUACAGCUCUUUCCCCAAGCCUUGCCCGUGCAGACCGUGACAGCAAGAUACAGGCUGAACGAGUCUGACAGCCCAGGGGGAUGUGUCUUUGCAGCUGCUCCAGCCACCCAGCCCACACUGCACGAGGCCUUUGUGCUACUGGGACACGCGUACUUUCGCAGGACACACUUUCCAACAAGAUUCCUUUGGUCCCAGGGUCAGCAUUCCUGCUGCCCCUCCCUGAAACUGCCAGCUCCUUUCCCAGCAGGAUUGCCCCAUCUGAGGAGGCCCUGUGCAAGGGCAUUCCCAGAGCUUCUCCCUUGUGUCACUCGGGGAAGGUGAAGGAGCAGGCAGGGAAUCAGAGCUGGUACCUCCACUGGAGGGUCUGGCCUGGGUAGAGACAGUGGCUUGAGUUCAUGUUUUAGACUGCCUCUGAGAGGAGCCAGGUGGGUUCGUAGCUGAAUCCACCCUGGCACAGAGAGCUUGUUGGAACUAACCACUGCCACUUCUGUUCUUUGGCAGGGAAGUCUGGAGCAGCAUGGAGACGGUUCUGCAGAAGUGGUAACUGGCCUUGGUGAAUGUUCUGGGGAAUUUAAAAUGCUGAGUCAGUGCUAAGCCUUCUCCCGUGUCACUUUCACCCUGUUAGGUUUCACCUCCAUCCAAGUAUCUGAGUUUCCACCUCUUCCUUCUCAGACAUGGUUGAUUAUUUAGCCCGACCUGUUCUGUUUAGCCCAGUCCUUGGUGUGUGUUAGUGUGUGGGUGGUGCUGGGGACACAGCAGUGCAGGUCCCCUUAGGAUUUCCCAUUCCCAGCAAAGCACGCCUAUGAACUAAAAUCCUAGGCUCCCUGAAGUCAAAUCUUUUCUUGCAUUCAGCAGUGCUCUGCAACCUUCAGUCCUGCUUCUGCAGCUUUAUUUUUUUGUUGAGUCUUCAUUUUUCUGUUGCAGGAGUCUCCCGUGUCUGCAAACAAAGCUGAUGUAAAGCUGAGUCUCCCAGUGCUGCUGCUGAAAGUGAAGCCACUCAAACCCAUUACAGGUCAGAGACUGCUUCUGUACAUGGAACACGCAGGUGGCAAAGGAAUCUUGGCCCUUCAGUCUACAAAGCAGCCAGAAUGGUUUGGUAAUGUCCUCCCUCGUCCCUCCCUGUCCUGUCUUUGUAGUUACCUGUAAUCCUAUAGUGGGAGUUACUUGUUAGCCAACCAUCUCACGUGUCACCUUUGUUAGCACAGAAUACUUCAGUGCGUCUGGGAUCAGGUGUCAUGCAGGGAGAGGAGGCUGCUUCCUAGAUUCUGGCAACCUGGCAGCACCCUUAUCUUGUCACUUUGAUCCUAGAUUCAUAAGAAUCUUCUCCCUUACAAAGAGGAUGGAGAUGGAGCUAACUUUGUACUGAGAUGGUGUCAAAAUGCCUCAGAAAGGCAAGGUGAGCUGGGUCCUCAGAUGGCUUGUCCUAAUUUCUCCCUUCAAAUAUUGGAAAAUGGGCUAGUGAUAUGGAAAGUCUCUUGUGGAUAUUCUUAAUGUUGAACUACUUCUACCAGGAAAACGCAGUGUGGUCCUUUUCAGGACAAUGCCUCCCUGAAGAUGGGAUAGUAAAAGUGCAUCUGAGUUCUUCCCCAUCUCCAUAGUGUCUGUUUCUCCCAGGCUGAGACUCUUCCCUUUAUGCUUCUGAUCUAAGAAUGAAUUUCAAAAGCCCUUUGGAUGCCUUGAAGAAAAUAGACGAUGGCAGCAUCUGGGUUUGGGACACAGUCACCCGAUUGAGGACUCCCAGUGGGAGCAGCAGGAGGCAAUUUUCCACAGCACUUGUUGGGGGUAUCUGGAGUUGGAGGGUGAGAAUGAGAGCAAGGAUGAGGUUCCCAGGUGAGCAGGAGUCCCAGUCAGCAUUCUGUUCCAUGAAACUUCAGUGCGGGACACGUGAAGUGCAGAUGGAAGCUUCUGGCUUGGUUCUACUGCUUUCAUCCUAAGGUUUCAGGGUAGGGGGCUAGCAUCAUUCCAGAUCCUGUUGCAGUGCUACCUACUUAUCAAGGCCUUUCUUUUACGUGUAUUUCUUCCUUCCUUACUCAGACAUGCUACUUUUCAUUUUCUCCUACCCAGCUGGAUCCUGUAAAUGGGACUGGUCAGGUAAUCCAACUGGGCAAAAAGUUGUUGACGUGUGAAGUAUGUUACUGCAUGACACUGAGCACCAGUUGGAAAUCAGUGACUCUGGGUUGGGCUGACUCUGUAAAUUCCACCUUCCAGGACAAAAGUCUGGCUUAAAUUGUCAACUCUACUCCAGCAUGAAGACAAACAAACUUUGCUGCUUGGUUUAAAAUAAACGAGGGAGCACAUAGGCAAAGUUAAAAAAUAAAAUAAAAUAAAAUCACGGGCAAGGGAGGGUUUGUUGUGUUCCAGUUUGUGGGAGCAGUUCUUAUAAGUCCUGGCAGGAAAAUUAUGAGAGCUCUAAUGAAAGCUUUCUGAUGGAGUUUUGGUGUCCUGGAUUGUUCUUUUCCUCAUUCCCUGAUCUCCUUCCCACUUUUAUUGUCCCUUCUGCUUACCAGAUGUUCCAGCUGGCACCAGUGUGCACUGGGAUGGGAAGCACAAUCUCUGCUUUUAUUUACUUAAACCGAUCAUUCAGGGAGAAAGCGGGGAAGAACGUCUUGCUUUCCCUCACAGAGCACUCUGUGGGGUGUGGGAAUGCUCAGUGGCCAGUAGCUGUCACUCAGCCAGCUCUUCACUAUUAGGGGAAAUGAGGAACAAGAGGAGAGCGAAUCUGAAAAUAGUCUUUUUAAUCCCUGCCCAGGUUACCCGCUGUCUGUGACUGCCAUUCUAGAGGAACGUCUUGUCCAUCGCAUCCAUUUUCUGCAGAGCACUGCAGCUGCCAGCAACAAGACAUUUUGUCCUGGUAUAGAUUCUGCCUCUCCCAUUGUGGAGCUUCUAGCACUGUGUACAGAGAGGAGUUUUUGUGUUUGCUGGGAGUAUGCAGGGGCAGGAAAUCCAGCAUCGUGCUCCUGGCAGGCAGGUGAGGCAGCUUCUGGUAGAUCUCGCUCCGAAGGAACGAGGUGUUACAGUGGCUGGGUCCAGCAGGGAGGCCCAGAUUUCUUUAGGUAGAGGAUUUUCUACUAGCUUCACCGAGAUAGCUGUGCCAUGCCACACAACUUGGUUUUGCUAGGAGUCAGUCCCAGCCGUGAAAUCCAACAGUUAUGCCAGAACUACAAUUAUUCCUGCCCCAGGGCUGGUGUUCAGCUGGCUGGGUCUCUGCCAGGUACCCAGGGCACUUCUUUCUUGUUUCUUCUGUGCUUGACAGAGUAACUUCUACCUGGAAGACAGAAUAAGCAUUUUCUGCCAUCUUUCUAUCGACUCUGCUGCUCUGGGGACUGUGGCUUUUUGCUUGCAAGGCAGCCAGGGGACUUGCAUCUCCAGCAUCAACCCCAGACAGGUUUUGGGUGCUGCUGCCCAGCAGGAAGCAGGCUUUGUUUCCAUAGGGAAGGGGAUUGGCUGGAACCUCACACCAACCCCUUUGCCACAUAUUGCCACUGACAUUAUUACAGCCUGUUGGUAUGCAAGUUAUGUCAAAGCAGUGGCAAAAUCCUGAGUCAGGUGAAUGUCUGAGAGGGGGGAGCAUAAAUUCUCACAGCAUGAUCUCAUGGGUUAGUCUACAAGAAUUGCUCAGACCUGACAAGCUUGUAUAUGUUGGUACAUCUCUGCUAACAGUCCUGCACUGUUGCCUCUGACCAAGAGAUGAGCAGCAGCAGCAGGCAGAUGUGUUGGCACAGAGCAGAGCCAGUCACUGCAUCAUCCUCAUUUCAGCUCCUACCCACUGAAGGAGGCUUUCCCAGAGGAACCAGAUUUCCCUUUCAAGUCCUCAGAGAACCUGUCAUUGAGGGAUGUCACAUUUUCUUUCAUGAUUGGUAAGCACAGAGAUAAGUAAGGUAAGUGUGCUAUUGCAAGCUAUGGUGUCAUGUCCAUGCAAGGUCUCAUCUUGGAGCUUCUGGGCUCUUCUGUGCACUGUGACACAGACAUCCGCCUGGGUAAGGUUGAUGUUCAACUAACUGCACCCCUGCCAGGCCUCCAGAACGUGUGCCCCUUCCUCCUCUGCCUUCUGUCCUCCCUAGAAUAACUCACAGCUGUCAGCCUGGGUGCCUGGGGCAGGCCUCAUUCCAGGUAAAGAGAGCGUGCCGGUUCUAGGUGCAUUUGUGCAGCAUAAAUCAUAGUGCAAGACUGUCAGAUAACGAUACUUGCUUAACUGCCUGCCUCUUCCUUUCGUCCCCAUAGCCAGGCAGAGCUGGGAUCUCUUUGUACCACGCUGCUCCCCUCUAUGCCUAGGUUAAUUUGAUGCUUAAGGAGGUUUGUGUUGUUGGUUUGUUGGCUUGAGAAGCACGCUCGUGCCCGGUGCAGAGCUCAGCAGGUGCACGGAGUUCAUGCUGUCACUAGAUGGCAAUGUGAUAUCUCUUAUUGGGUCACUUCUUCCUUGAAUUCUUCACCUGAAGCCAGAUCCUCAUCAAUAACAUUCUGUUCAUUUUUAUCACUAAGCUUUAAUUUUCCAGUCUGAAGUGGAACAGAUGGGCACAGGUAUGACCUUACAGCACUUGUUACCUGGAAGUCUUCCCUAAAUUCCUUGUAUCCAGAGUGAAUCCCGUGGUGUUAUCUGGUCAGCUGGGGACAGAAAACUUUCAUCCCAUCCCACCAGUUCUGUGCCCUAAUCUUAAAAAGCUGGAAAGGAGGCUCCUAUCUGCAUCAUGCCAGCGGAAGUGGGAGAAUGGCAGGGGCUGUGCUAACGCUCUCCUUCCCUUGCAAGGCAGCAGUGUCUGCUAGGAUUCAGGGAGCAGCUGUCUGAUACUGGAGUGGAUGCAGGCACGAGCAGCUGCCAUGGACAAGGAGAGGCAGAACAUAAAGGGACAGAAGAAGCUGUAGUCAGCCCUGCAUCCUGAGGGCCAGGCUCUGCUCUGUCAAAGGCCUGCAGACCUAUAAUCCAGCAGAGAUAUUUUAGCAGCAGCUCUGUUCAAAUCCAUCCUGCUGCUGUCCAGCUUGGGGCAAUUUGUCACACGAACUGUCUGCUUGCUUGCCACAGUGCAGCCACCAGGAUCUGCACCCUGCUUCUCUUCUUACCUUCCAGCAGGGCUCGGCUCCUCCUCAUCGGGGACAAAUGCAGCUGAUGGAAGAGUCUCCAGGUAGGAAAGAACUAUUACGGAAGUGAUAGAUCUAACAUUUGUGUGCUUCAGCUAAGGAUUUGUGCUGGAUUUCUGAGUCCUCUCAAAGCCCUGGAACAUCAAAGCAAUAUGGUGUGUUAUAAUGUCCGUCCUGAAUAAAGACUUUUCUCCAAUAAAUGGCAUUUUACCAGGUUCCAGUCUUCUGCCCUUCUUGUUUC